UCUACGGGUGGCUGCAGUGGGGAAUAUUGGACAAUGGGCGAAAGCCUGAUCCAGCCAUGCCGCGUGUGUGAAGAAGGCCUUCGGGUUGUAAAGCACUUUCAGUGGGGAAGAAAGCCUUGGGGCUAAUACCCUCGAGGAAGGACAUCACCCACAGAAGAAGCACCGGCUAACUCCGUGCCAGCAGCCGCGGUAAUACGGAGGGUGCGAGCGUUAAUCGGAAUUACUGGGCGUAAAGCGCGCGUAGGCGGUCUGAUAAGCCGGUUGUGAAAGCCCCGGGCUCAACCUGGGAAAGGCAUCCGGAACUGUCAGGCUAGAGUGCAGGAGAGGAAGGUAGAAUUCCCCGUGUAGCGGUGAAAUGCGUAGAGAUCGGGAGGAAUACCAGUGGCGAAGGCGGCCUUCUGGACUGACACUGACGCUGAGGUGCGAAAGCGUGGGUAGCAAACAGGAUUAGAUACCCUGGUAGUC
rnacentral:rRNA from 1 species